UACGUAGGUGGCAAGCGUUGUCCGGAUUUAUUGGGUUUAAAGGGUGCGUAGGCGGUCUUUUAAGUCAGUGCUGAAAUAUCCCGGCUUAACCGGGAGGGUGGCAUUGAUACUGAAGGACUUGAGUAAAGUUGAGGUAGGCGGAAUUGACGGUGUAGCGGUGAAAUGCUUAGAUAUCGUCAAGAACACCGAUAGUGUAGACAGCUUACUAAGCUUUAGCUGACGCUGAGGCACGAAAGUGUGGGGAUCAAACAGG
rnacentral:rRNA from 1 species